UACGUAGGGUGCGAGCGUUAAUCGGAAUUACUGGGCGUAAAGCGUGCGUAGGCGGUUGGCAAAGUCAGCUGUGAAAGCCCCGGGCUUAACCUGGGAAUGGCGGUUGAAACUAGUCGACUAGAAUCUGGCAGAGGGGGGUGGAAUUCCAAGUGUAGCAGUGAAAUGCGUAGAGAUUUGGAGGAACACCGAUGGCGAAGGCAGCCCCCUGGGAUAAAACUGACGCUCAAGCACGAAAGCGUGGGUAGCAAACAGG
rnacentral:rRNA from 1 species